UCUCACUUAUCACUCUCUGCUCCGUCUUUGCAAUCUUGUACAUGAAUUCAGCCAUUGUUGCAGUAGAUGGGAAAUCACAAACAGUUGGUAAAGUUCUAAACCCAACAAAGUUGGGUCUCAAGAAAGAAAAACUCAGUCAUUUUCGUGUGUAUUGGCAUGAUAUUGUUGGUGGCCGUCAUCCUACAUCAAUUCAGGUUGCAAAGGCAGCUUCAACAGACAAAUCGGCGACUGGGUUCGGAGCUGUUUCAAUGAUUGAUGAUCCCUUGACAGAAGGACUUGAACUGAGUUCAAAACUUGUCGGACGAGCUCAAGGAUUUUAUGCAUCUGCCGGAAUUAAUGAAUUAGUUGCUCUGAUAAAUAUGAAUUUUGCUUUCGUGGUUGGAAAAUACAAUGGCAGCACCAUCAGUGUUAUGGGAAGAGAUAAAGUGUUAUCUGAAGUUAGAGAAAUGCCCAUUGUUGGUGGUAGCGGAUUAUUCCGAUUUGCUCGUGGUUAUGUUGAAGCUCGGACUAAGAAAUUGGAUUCUAAAACUGGUGAUUCUACUGUUGAAUACAACAUUUAUGUCUUUCAUUACUGAUCCUUUUCGUAUUUCAAUUCCUGUAUUCAUUUCGUAUUCAUCUGUUGUAUCAAUUUCCUGUGCUCCUGCCAAAAAAUAUUGAGUUGCCACGGCUGGAGGUAAAUAUGCUGCCGCACCUGUUCCAUGCUAUGUUUGGCUUGCAGUAUUUGGAACUGAAUCUUUCUUGGUUAAAGCCUCGAUCAUAGAUUGAGCACUUAUUAAGUUUUCCCUCGGCAUAACAUUGUAUUCAUACAGAUUUUGGAGAUUCUUACGAAUGUCGAAAUAUCAGUUCCACAAUCGACUUUAAAUUCUGCAAUGACAUGAUAUAGGAUGCAAUUAUAUAAGGUGCAGGUAGCAGUUAUCUUACACAAGAAAAUGUAACAUACUUCCUCAAUGGAAGACUCUUUCUGAUAUCAAAUUUAUAGAAUUGAAUAAAGGAAUUCCUGAAUCACAAAAGGAACAUGGGAAUUGAAGUGCAGAACAAUAUACUUUAGUAAAGUAUGGAAUCACCGGAUGUUAUGCAUCAGUCUGCAUUAUUUCUCCGGUCAUCAGAACAUAUACAAGAUGCAGAAAAAUCAAUAAGUUCUAGACUAGUUCUUACCCAAGUCAGGAGGUAGCUGUAGGGUGCUGUCAUUUGAUACUUGAGGCCGCGAGGGAUGAAAAUGAUUUCCUUACUCUCUCUGCAUUUGCAGUCUUACGAAUAGCAUCCUGAAGGAAGCAAAUUUGGAGAUUCAGUUUGAAGAAAAUGGUGCAAGCUCCAUUGUUUUAUUUCCCAAGGAAGCGAGACUUCCAACAAAAAAUAGUAAUAAUUUAGCACAGCUACAAUCUUCUCGAUAGGUAAGUUGCCUCUUUUGUUAAGAAUGAUGGUGCCCAUUCUGCUGGAAGAUGUUCUUCUUUUUGUGCAAAGAUUAUUUCCAUGCAAGGGCAUCACCAGGCACACAACCAGAAAGUGCAUCAUCUCCAUUACUUGUGUGAUCUUCCAGCAUACAUCUGAAACAUAAGUGAUGCGGCAUGAUUAUAUAUCUCUUUGCAAAUUCAAUUGCUUCAAAUCAUGCAUUUCAUAACAUCGUUUGCUCUACCUACAAUUCAUAAGAACU